rnacentral:rRNA from 1 species
GGCUCAGGAUGAACGCUAGCGGCAGGCUUAACACAUGCAAGUCGAGGGGCAUCGGGAGUAGCAAUACUGCCGGCGACCGGCGCAAGGGUGCGUAACGCGUGAGCAACAUGCCCGUAUCAGGGGGAUAAUCCAUGGAAACGUGGUCUAAUACCCCAUAGUAAUUAUGUAAGGCAUCUUAUAUAAUUUAAAGCUUUGGUGGAUACGGAUUGGCUCGCGUGACAUUAGCUAGAUGGUAAGGUAACGGCUUACCAUGGCUACGAUGUCUAGGGGUUCUGAGAGGAAGGUCCCCCACACUGGAACUGAGACACGGUCCAGACUCCUACGGGAGGCAGCAGUGAGGAAUAUUGGACAAUGGAUGGAAAUCUGAUCCAGCCAUGCCGCGUGCAAGGAAGACGGCCCUAUGGGUUGUAAACUGCUUUUGUAUGGGAGCAAUAAGGGCUACGUGUAGUCCGAUGAGAGUACCAUACGAAUAAGCACCGGCUAACUCCGUGCCAGCCGCGGC